GUGCUCACUUUGGUGGUACACAUACUAAAACUGAAAUAAUUUAGACAAAAUUAGCAUGGCUGCUGCACAAAGAUGACAGGCAUUUUUGUGAUACUGUUUUAUUUUUG
ensembl:snRNA U6 U6 spliceosomal RNA